rnacentral:rRNA from 1 species
UCGUCAGCUCGUGUCGUGAGAUGUUGGGUUAAGUCCCGCAACGGGCGCAACCCUUGCCUUUAGUUGCCAGCAUUAAGUUGGGCACUCUAGAGGGACUGCCAGGGAUAACCUGGAGGAAGGUGGGGAUGACGUCAAAUCAUCAUGCCCCUUAUGCUUAGGGCUACACACGUGCUACAAUGGGUGGUACAGAGGGCAGCCAAGUCGUGAGGCGGAGCUAAUCCCUUAAAGCCAUUCUCAGUUCGGAUUGUAGGCUGAAACUCGCCUACAUGAAGCUGGAGUUACUAGUAAUCGCAGAUCAGAAUGCUGCGGUGAAUGCGUUCCCGGGUCUUGUACACACCGCCCGUCACACCAUGGGAGUUGGGGGCGCCCGAAGCCGGAUAGCUAACCUUUUGGAAGCGUCCGUCGAAGGUGAGACCAAUAACUGGGGUGAAGUCGUAACAAGGUAACCGUA